UACGUAGGGGGCGAGCGUUAUCCAGAUUUACUGGGCGUAAAGCGCGCGUAGGCGGCUUUGCAAGUCGGGUGUGAAAUCCCCAGGCUUAACCUGGGAACUGCAUUCGAGACUGCAUUGCUAGAGUAUGGGAGAGGGAAGUGGAAUUUCCGGUGUAGCGGUGAAAUGCGUAGAUAUCGGAAGGAACAUCAGUGGCGAAAGCGACUUCCUGGACCAAUACUGACGCUCAUGUGCGAAAGCGUGGGGAGCAAACAGG
rnacentral:rRNA from 1 species